rnacentral:rRNA from 1 species
UGAGCGGCGGACGGGUGAGUAACACGUGGGCAACCUGCCUGUAAGACUGGGAUAACCCCGGGAAACCGGGGCUAAUACCGGAUAAUACUUUCUUUUGCAUAAAGGAAAGUUGAAAGGCGGCUUCGGCUGUCACUUACAGAUGGGCCCGCGGCGCAUUAGCUAGUUGGUGAGGUAACGGCUCACCAAGGCGACGAUGCGUAGCCGACCUGAGAGGGUGAUCGGCCACACUGGGACUGAGACACGGCCCAGACUCCUACGGGAGGCAGCAGUAGGGAAUCUUCCGCAAUGGACGAAAGUCUGACGGAGCAACGCCGCGUGAGUGAUGAAGGUUUUCGGAUCGUAAAACUCUGUUGUUAGGGAAGAACAAGUUGGGUAGUAACUGACCCAACCUUGACGGUACCUAACCAGAAAGCCACGGCUAACUACGUGCCAGCAGCCGCGGUAAUACGUAGGUGGCAAGCGUUGUCCGGAAUUAUUGGGCGUAAAGCGCUCGCAGGCGGUCCUUUAAGUCUGAUGUGAAAUCUCGCGGCUCAACCGCGAACGGUCAUUGGAAACUGGAGGACUUGAGUACAGAAGAGGAGAGUGGAAUUCCACGUGUAGCGGUGAAAUGCGUAGAGAUGUGGAGGAACACCAGUGGCGAAGGCGACUCUCUGGUCUGUAACUGACGCUGANGAGCGAAAGCGUGGGGAGCGAACAGGAUUAGAUACCCUGGUAGUCCACGCCGUAAACGAUGAGUGCUAGGUGUUAGGGGGUUUCCGCCCCUUAGUGCUGAAGUUAACGCAUUAGCACUCCGCCUGGGGAGUACGGCCGCAAGGCUGAAACUCAAAAGAAUUGACGGGGGCCCGCACAAGCGGUGGAGCAUGUGGUUUAAUUCGAAGCAACGCGAAGACCUUACCAGGUCUUGAC